rnacentral:lncRNA from 1 species
ACCCAUGAGUUAACUAUGAAGCAAAAUAUUUAGGAGGAAAGUAGAAAGAAGACAAUUGCUUCCAAAUCAACCGCAUUGGAAGAUGAUGAAAGCAAUGAGUCAAUUGAUGAAGAUGAAGAAGAUGAUUUGGCAUUAAUAGCAUAGAAGUUCAAAAUAUUGAUGAAAAGAAAGAAGCAAAAUUUUACGAAAAGAUCAUUUAAAGGAGAAUUGAGCAAAGAUAGGG